ACCUUGUGCUUUUCCAAAGUUUGUACGAAUCUUUCUGGAUUUUUCGUUACUUCCCUGGGAACGACGACCAAUGUACGACCUUGUAACAAUGGACCCCAAAUUUCUGGCACACUAUCGACGAACGUUAAAGCCGUUUUAAAGAUGCAACGAUUCUCGUUCGUCCAAUAAGAUAAACGAACGAGUUGAAGAUUAGUUUAAAAAUUGCUUACCUUCCUUCUCGAGGAUCACUACAAUUGGUUCAGCCUCCUGCAAGAUAUGUUUCAACCUAGUCGAUGGGAAUUCAGGGUCCAAAGGGUACCCAUCUAAAAUCGGACAUCAAAAAUGGCAUUGAAAGAGGAUAUUAUUGUGAUCUGACGUAAUAAAAAUCUUGGUUUCUCAAUGAAAAUGAAUAUGAUAAACAUGCAAAGAGUAAAAUGACUACGAAAUAUGGAGACUAUGGCAUAGAUCAACCGUUUACGUAAACAUUUGUACAACAACAAGAAAGUUGAUCAACCAGUGCGUUGACUAUUAACGAAAGAUGCAAAGAGUAAAAUGACUACGAAAUAUGGAGGCUAUUGCAUAGAUCAACCGUUUACGUAAGCAUUUGUAGAAUAACACGAAAGUUGGUCAACCAGUGCGUUAAGGUAUUCAUACAGUAAAAUAUUAAAUGAAAUACUUAAGAAAUAAUGCACAUGUAAACGUUAUAUAUUCUAAACAAGAAAGUUCAUUAAAUCAAUAAAUUAACUAGCAGAGAGAGAAAGAGAGAGAGAGAGAGAGAGGGAGAGAGGGAGGGAGAGAGAGAAAGAGUGUCUAUACCGUGAAUUAUUCAACGAAAUAUUUAAGAAAUAAUGUACGUGUAAAUGUUAUAUUUUACUUUCAAUUGUUUAUAGCUUAUAAAGUUUCAAGAAACUAUUUAAUCUGGUCGCGUGAAUUAUGAUCGCUACGUUGCUGUAUAUCUAUAACAACUGGAAUUAUAUAUACUAUAACGACUAAUGUGACUAAUUGACACUUUUAGAAUGUCACACGAGACCAUCUUAAAGUAAAUUAAACGUCCUGAAUACUUGAGAAAAAUAAAAUUUAUGAGCAACAUUAGAACACAUAUUCAUGAAUAUAGGUAUGUAACGUGACACUGAACAUUUGUAAUAAGGAACACAAUAUAUGUUAAUUAGCUAUCAGUUACAAUAUUAUUGAGUUAUAUAAAGAUUAUCGAAAGAUAUCUUCGAUACUCACCACGUUGAUAUGACCAAUAUGACCAAAUACUCUUUUAAAAAUAUUUAUCUUCUUAUUAUCAAAAGAACGAUCGAUCAAUUCUUUAACUGUAUAAAAUUUUAUGAUACUGUAUGUAGACUCCUAUUUAUACUUUCACUUAUUGUACAUACUCUCGCCGUUUGAACUUUUUCUUUCACGAGCGGAUCUCACAAUGUUCUCUUUUGAGUAUAAAAACAAAAUUCUUUCAACUAGUUUUCUACGCAGUUAAAAAAAAAUAUAUAUAUAUACACGUAUAUUUAUAUUGAGAGGAAAAUAUGGGGGAAGCUCGAGUGUCUCUCUGUGUUAAAAUCUUUCUCUCCCUCUUUCACUUGAACUUUCUCUCUCUUUCCCUCUCUCUCUCUCUCUCUCUCUCUCUCUCUCUCUCUCUUUCUUUGUCUGUCUUUCUCUAUCAAAUGAGGCGCAUUUGAGCGUCACCAAUAAAUGGUGCUAUUAUCUUCUU